GUGCCCUAAAGUCGAUGAAUAUCGGACAUAAAAAAUUGCAAAAUGAAAAAAUCAUUUUCAAAGCGGGCUUUUCUAGAAAAACUGGACAUUGUGAGGACAGGGCAGCUGUCUUGUUUGAACCCGGAAAAGGGAUUAUUCGCGUCACUUCGAGAGCAGCAACAACUUGCUAGUUGUGCCUGCGAGCUAGCUAGCGAGCUAGCUGACUAGCCAUCACAGAGUAAUUCGCUUCUCUGCCCGAGUGCAACGAAACAAACUGAUGAUGUGUCAAACUAGCGUCCGGUCGCCACGGAAACCUGAGAGUAAGGGAGAGAGCUCUGCGGCCGGCGGGAGAACCGUCAGGAUGAUGUCAUGGGCGGCGGUCACCGUGGCGACGACGAGGACAACAGACUCAUCUCACAAGGGCUGCGCUUGUCUGCAGAGUGAGAGAGAGAGAGAGAGAGCGGCACAGCAAGGAGAUGGAAACAAACAAACGAAUGAAUGCGAGAAACACGACGAUCAUUGCGACGGAACAGGACGACAGUCGCCAUGGCAACCAGAAGAUGCUCGAGAGAGAGAGAGACUGCAUGCCCAUUGCUGUUUACGCACAAACGCUUCAUCGCAGCAGUCAGUCAGCCUCUCGCAAACUAUUUUGAGAUGACGACGUGGGCGUGCGAGAGCGCAGCGACGUCGGAUCCUCCGAGUUUAGCUCCAAACGGACGCGUUUGGCGGGAAAUCAGCCACCGGCCGUGGUUCGACGCAUCCUGGUUGGGAAUUCACAAAGACUAAAGAUGUGAUGAAAAUGGAUUUGUUCAGCACACUUCUUGUGUCUUUUCGAGCAAGACUUUGAGAGGUUUUUUUUUUUUUUUUUUGGGUGGGUCUACUUGUGACACACAUGCCUACCAAAUUUUAUGUUGCUAAGUCAAACUGGCUUUGGGGGCUGAAUUUUUUUGGGUUCAAUUCUACAGGGCAUUCCGCCAGUGGAGGGUCUGACGUGAACUCCCAUUUUGUCAGCGCUGGAUUUAUCAGCCCUCGCAUCGCGUUCCUCAUGUGAAACCCCGACUCUGGCUUGAAACCCUAACCCUAGCUUCAAAGCCUAAUUUGAAAUCCUAAACCGGAUUUUGAACCCUAAUUUGAAACCGCAACAGUUGUUUGAAACCCUGACGCAGUGUCGGAACCCUAACUUGAAACCCUCGUUUGAAACCUAAACCUUGGCUUGAAACCCUAACUUGAAGGCCCAAAUCCAAACAUGGAUUGGAACCUUAACUUGGAAGCCUAACAUUUGUUUGAGCCAUAACCCAGGAUUUAAAGACUAAUUUUAAACCCUAACUUGAGUUUCAAAAUCUGGCUUGAAACCCUAACCCUGGCUUGAAAUUGUAAUUGAAAAUCCUAGCCUUAGGUUGAAAUGCUAACUCUAGCUAGAAAUGUUCAUUUGAAAACAUAACCUUUGCUUGAAACCCUACCCCUGGCUUGAACCCCUAAAAAAAGAGCUUGAAACCCUACGCUAGUUUUAAGAUCUAGUUUGUAUGUCUUGCUUUAGUUUGCAACCCUAAACCGGGCUUGAAACCCUCAGUUGUGUUGCAGAAAACUUUUACAAGCGGCGAGUGCCUGCGGACAAAAACACGACGGCGAUGAUGAUGAUUGAUUUUGGACGACCCGUGGACGGCUGACACACUCCCAAACCAGACACGCGCACACACAUACGCACACAGUUGUUGUUGAUUUGGACACCGCGGACGUUUUAUAGCGCCUUAAGGUCUUCCCGCACCUGUUUGCUGACAAGCGUCGGCCAUGAUUGAUGUCUGUGCUUAUUUUAAUCGGUGAGUCUUGGCCUGAAGGGUCAGCUUUUUCUUCUUCUUCUGUAAUUCUUUUCCGACCAAAAUGGUGCCGGCGUUCCUUAUAAUGCGCCAGGAAACGCCGGAUUGAAAGGAUUUGACUCUUGCCCUGAAUCAGACAUCACGAGUCAGAGGAUCCUGUAAGUCAUCUUCUGCUCAGGACACAAAGCGGGAUUCAGAUGAUUUGGUGUGCUGUCGCGAGUCAGCAGACUCAGUGACAAGGCUAGGGACUCAUAUGAUUCAGUUGAGUCGAGUGACUGACUCGAUUAAAGGAUACUGCGGACUCUGAUGGUUUGGUUCUCUGGUUCGAUUUAACUGACACACAGGAAACACCGCAGACUCCUAUGAUUUGGUUUACCGAAUCAAGUCAGAAAACGCUCCAGAGAAGGUUCCGUUGAAUCGGGUGACUGACUGGAGGAACACACCAUAAACACUGAGGACUCAGAUCACUUGCUCCACUGACUCGAGUCAGCGGACUCACCGGAAUCACAGCAGACUCCAAUGACUGGGUUAACUGACUCUCGUCAGCGGACUCAACGGCAAUACUGUGGACUCAGAGGAUUCAGUUGAAUCGGCUCGACUGAUUCAAAUUAACGGACGUGCCAGAAACACAGUAAACACAAACGAUUCAUUUAAAUCGGUAGAGCGACUUACAAAUGUUUUGGUUCAUGGACUCAAGUCUGCGGAAUCACCACGAACACAGCAGAAUGCAGUGAUUAGGUUCACUAACUCGAGUCAGAAUGCACAACCAAAACGCCGCAAACUCAGAUGAUUUGGUUCCCUGACUCCAUUCAGUGGACUCACCAGAAGCACUGCGGACUCGGAGGAUUCCGUUGAAUUGGGUUAGUGACUCGAGUUAACUUACUCCGCAGAAACACAGCAGACUCGAUUCAUCGAUUUAAGUCGACGGUCUCAUCGGAAACACUGCAGAUUCAGUCGAUUCGGUCGAGUCAGGCGACAGACUCGAGUUAACUGACACGGCGGACUCACGCGUCAUCAUGAAUUAUGCAAAAGUGUACCCGCUGAUAUUGUCAAUAGUGAUGUAUAUGUGGUCUAAAAUAUUGUCUAUCGGGUGAAGAUGAAAGUGGUUGAAAUGCUGUGUCGCGCUGUUGCCAUGGAAACCGACACUAAUAAUGCAGCAUAAACAAUAUGUACGGAAUGUCUAUGCAAUAUGUCAAGUUGGUUUUCGCCUUUGUAUGGAUUUCCAAUUAAGGUGUGCCGCUGCUGAUGAUGAAGUGAAAUGCUUAAAUUGAGCUUUUUUCCCCCCGUGCGUUUAUUAUUAUUAGCAAUCUCAUGAGUUGACUAGCAUUCUAACAAGCACAUUUUCGCAUAUGUAUUGAUUGCUAAUCUCCAACUUAUUUACUAAAUGUGAGAGUUAUUCCGGAUGUACGCUCGGAAGCUGCUCGGUUUGUCCGUGGGUCACGAUGCUCACAACCCGUUUGAGCGGUCGUUAGGAAUGCCACGAGUUACGACGGGCGCAAAUCCGCUCCGCAGCGUUCAUCCGGCCGCAUGCGCCGCAUUCCUGACUCGCCUCGUUACAACCUUCGUUGUUCACCUAAGAUAAUUGUAGACAGUCUACAAAGUUGCGUGUCCGUACGAAAAGCCAUAUCGAUUAUGUGCGUGUAUGUAUAUGAAGUUUGAAUAGUUUCAUACUAGUUUCAAAAGUAGGUCUUCAUUCAUUUGUUCGUAAAAAAAAAUCUGAAUUCUCAAAUGUAGUCAAUUUUGUAAUAAUAAUAACUAAUUUAGGAAUGUACUAUAUACAGUUUCACAGCUCUGUCCUUGCUGUAUGUUCUCAUUGGCUAUUACUUUACAAAAUAUAGGAUAUACUUAUUUUUGUAUUCUUUAUGUUUACUCAACUGGAAUAAUUCCUGUUUAAAAAAAAAACAUUUAAAUAUU